GAUGAACGCUGGCGGCGUGCUUAACACAUGCAAGUCGAGCGAAGCAGUUAAGAAGAUUCUUCGGAUGAUUCUUAACUGACUGAGCGGCGGACGGGUGAGUAACGCGUGGGUGACCUGCCCCAUACCGGGGGAUAACAGCUGGAAACGGCUGCUAAUACCGCAUAAGCGCACAGAGCUGCAUGGCUCGGUGUGAAAAACUCCGGUGGUAUGGGAUGGGCCCGCGUCUGAUUAGGCAGUUGGCGGGGUAACGGCCCACCAAACCGACGAUCAGUAGCCGGCCUGAGAGGGCGACCGGCCACAUUGGGACUGAGACACGGCCCAAACUCCUACGGGAGGCAGCAGUGGGGAAUAUUGCACAAUGGGGGAAACCCUGAUGCAGCGACGCCGCGUGAGCGAAGAAGUAUUUCGGUAUGUAAAGCUCUAUCAGCAGGGAAGAUAAUGACGGUAC
rnacentral:rRNA from 1 species